rnacentral:rRNA from 1 species
AACGAAGUCUUCGGACUUAGUGGCGGACGGGUGAGUAACGCGUAAGAAUCUACCUAUAGGUUCGGGACAACAGUUAGAAAUGACUGCUAAUACCGGAUAUGCCUUCGGGUGAAAGUUUUAAUGCCUGUAGAUGAGCUUGCGUUCGAUUAGCUAGAUGGUGGGGUAACGGCCUACCAUGGCGACGAUCGAUAACUGGUCUGAGAGGAUGACCAGUCACACUGGGACUGAGACACGGCCCAGACUCCUACGGGAGGCAGCAGUGGGGAAUUUUCC